GGCCUGAUGGUCUAGUAGUAUGAUUCCUCGUUCGGGAGAUAAUCCAAGGCUCAUCGUAGCUUAAAAUCGAGGAGGUCCCGGGUUCAAUUCCCGGUCAGGCCC